rnacentral:rRNA from 1 species
GACGUAGGGGACGAGCGUUGUCCGGAUUCAUUGGGCGUAAAGCGCGCGCAGGCGGUCUUUUAAGUCUGAUGUGAAAGCCCACGGCUCAACCGUGGAGGGUCAUUGGAAACUGGGGGACUUGAGUGCAGAAGAGGAGAGUGGAAUUCCACGUGUAGCGGUGAAAUGCGUAGAGAUGUGGAGGAACACCAGUGGCGAAGGCGACUCUCUGGUCUGUAACUGACGCUGAGGCGCGAAAGCGUGGGGAGCAAACAGG